rnacentral:SRP_RNA from 2 species
UGGAACCCGUGCGGCGUUGUGUCGUGAACCUUGUCAGGGCCGGAAGGCAGCAGCAAUAAGCGAUUGCAGCGCGCGCCGCGGGAAU